rnacentral:ncRNA from 1 species
CACCGCCCGUCACACUAUAGGAGCUGGCCAUGUUUGAAGUCAUUACCCUUAACUGUAAGGAGGGGGAUGGCUAAGGCUAGGCUUGCGACUGGAGUGAAGUCGUAACAAGGUAGCCGUACUGGAAGGUGAGACUG